rnacentral:rRNA from 1 species
AUGCUUGUUAAUGCUCAUGGUGGUUCUCAGUUUUGGAAGGCCUUUGUUAAAGUUAGGCCCCUGUUCCAGGCUCAUGUUAAAUUUAUAGUUGGGGAUGGCUCCUCCAUUAGAUUUUGGCUGGACUGGUGGUGUGGAGAUUCACCGCUCUCGGUGACCUUCCCCACCUUGUUCUCCUAUUGUCCGGACCCGUUUAUUUCUAUUGCUAAGUUGGCAUCCCAGGGUUGGAACCUGGCCUUUCGCCGAUCCUUGUCGCAUGUAGACUUUGAAGAUUGGCAACGCCUUACUGCCUUCUUCCCCCCGCUCUCGACGAAUACGGAUUCGGUGAUCUGGCCGUACUCUGCCUCGGGGUGUUUUUCUGUUAAAUCGCUUUACUCUAAGCUUAUUGGUGGCGCUCCUACUAACCGUUUCUCUCAGAUUUGGAAGGCUCGGAUCCCGCCUAAAGUUAAGAUAUUCUUGUGGCAAGCCUUUAGGGGCCGGUUGCCUUCGGCUGACCAGAUUCACAAGAGAAACGGGCCGGGCUCUAUAUUUUGCGCCCUUUGUGGUGAUGUAGAGGACACGGCUCAUAUUUUCUUUCACUGUGCCUUAGCUAAGCUCAACUGGAGUUGUGUUCGUGACUGGCUUCAGGUCUCCUGGCCCCUGUUUCUUCCUCUGAUCUGUGGACUCUUGCGAGUACCUUGUCUGGUGUCUCCAGACGCAUCUUUUGGGUGGGCCUGGGUACUGUUUGUUGGUCCCGUUGGACGACUAGAAACAAGUUUACUAUUGAACAUGUGUUUUCGGCUAAACCUGCUGAUUGCUUAUUUAAAUCGUAUGCUCUCUUGCAGCAGUGGAAAUCAUUGA